GGGACAGACAGUCAAGCCCGAUACAAAACAAGAAAGUUUUCAGAGGACAGUACUCGCUUGCUCCUGGGCCUAUACAGCGUUACUCUUGACAUCACAUCAGCUGCCAAAAUGACGCUUUUUCCUGGUAAUAUCCCCCGGCGAGCCAGGACAGGGUUUACAAACAGGGACAGGUUACAGACACCCGUCCAGAACAGGGAUAACAUGCAAGCUCCGCACAUAAGGCACCUCAGGUCGGAUUCUGGACCGAGGAUCCAAGACAAAAAUUGUGCAGCAUCGCAUUUAAAACCGAUUAAUCCUGCGUCUGUCAAAAUUCACCUUUAGUUAGUUGUCUAAAACCAUCAUUUUGAUUCUUUAAAAGGCUUUAAAAUUGACAAUUUAUGGCAAACUGACUAGACUGGGAAUUUAUAAUAGCUUUCUUAGAAGUCUAAAUCAGCUGUCUGAAAUCAGCUAGCACUGCUAAACCAGCCAAACUCCAGAGAUUAUGAGGCGUUUCACCGCUGUUUCUGUCUGUUGUCAGUGUAAUAAAUUCAUUUGGGCGUAUUUAGUCCGUGAAUUGA